rnacentral:pre_miRNA from 1 species
UUAACUCAUAUUUGUAUGGAACGGGAUCGUUUGCCUACGUUUGCCGCUAGGGGCGCUGUUCCAACUGCAUACAAAAUUGGGUUA